GCAGCCCUCCGUCGUGCCUGGGGCUGAGUGACUUGCUGCUCCUAAACCAUUGCUUCUGAUCCUCCUCGCCCUGUGGUCAGGCUGAAAACCUGUCACCUCUCCUCACCCUCUGUUUCCUCCACGACUUCAUUCUCCAGCUUCAGAAACGUCUCUCACUGCCAGUGGCUAUAUCUAUCCUAAUAAAUUAAACAAGCCCUUAGUGCCAGAACGUAGAGAGUCAGUGGCUUGUCUCCCCGAGGCAAACCACUUUAUUAUUGCCACUUCCCCCAGCGCAGAAUCAUUCAGCUAGCAGAGGCUGAUGACCAUUGCCAUGUCUUGCACAGUGCCGUGGCACUGCUUGGAAGAGAGCUGGCUGGCAAAAGCCCAGCUUGUACAGAGAGUGGGCUAACAACUAAAUGGGCUAAUCAAAUUCAGUCUAAUAUUUGAGUGCAUAUGCUGGUCACGUUUACUUUUGCUAGUGUAGCAUCCUUGCCCUAGGACUGAGCUUUGGCCACAGGAUUUACAGCUACCUUUUAAAAGCCAUGAUUCUAUUUUUGAUCUCUGAUAUUCUACUUUCACUUCAAAGUAUCAGGUUUUGCACUGUUAAAGUACCUGUAGAUGUGCAGAAUCCGUAUCUGUUCAUUACUUCAUGUGAUCCCUUGCCUAUUUAUUCAGCUCCUUUUCCUGAUUCAGAAUAAAGGAGCACAAGCAUCAGGCAGAUCUGGCCAAGCUAGAAGACAAAAGAGAAGGAGAACAAAUACAGAGAUUGAAUCAAUUGUACCACUUGGAACUUCGGAGAAGAAUGGAAAAGGAACAGGAGGAAAAAGUUGAACGCCAGAGGUUGUAUCAUACGAAGAUUAAAGUGGAAAACAAGAGAGAGGAAAAAGCAGAGGAUGAAAAGGAUUGUACUCAGUGGAUGACAGCAGAUCCUAUCUACUUGGAAAUGGAAAAAGCCAAUAAGCAAAGACAAAAUGAUGCAAAUAUGGAAAAUUCAGAUCUAGCGAAUGGCUGAAGGGCAGGCAAAAAAAACAAGCAGGAGAAGCAAGCAGAUGCAGACUAUGAUUCUCAGAGGGAGGCUGCUUUUUGUAAG